GGGAGGAGGAGGAGGAGGAGGUGAGGGGAGGAUGGGGACAUGGAGUUAGGUGGCCUGGGGGAGCUUCAUGAAAAGAGCCAAGAGGGGGUGUGGAUUAGCAACCGAGAGGCAACCUCAGGGAGAAGCAGAAGGCAGAGAGAGGGGUAGAGAGAUCAGGAGGCAGCGGGAGACUGGAGGGCUGGGGGAAGGCGAGGAAGGAGGAGAGACACCGAGGGGAGCAGAGGAGUGGGUUGGGGGACCUCCGUCCCUGGCUGGCUUGGCAUUUGGGGGGUCCGGGACUCCCUGUGGGGAGAAGAGGAAGGCUGGAAGUCCUGGAGGGACAGGGUCCCGCCGAGAAGAGAGGGAAGAGCCGAGAGAGGGGCCGGGCGCUGGGAAGGGGUCGCCCCGAGGCCUCCCGGGGAUGGGCGGUGCAGCCAGUCUGAGCGCCCCUCGAGCGCUGGUACUCGGGGCUGCACUGGGGGCGGCAGCUCACAUCGGACCCGCACCUGACCCCCGCGGACUGGUGGAGCUACAAGGAGAAUCUCCAGGGAAACUUCGUGCCAGGGCCUCCCUUCUGGGGCCUGGUGAACGCAGCCUGGAGUCUGUGUGCAGUGGGGAAGCGGCAGAGCCCCGUGGAUGUGGAGCUGAAGAGGGUUCUUUAUGACCCCUUCCUGCCCCCACUGAGGCUCAGCACCGGGGGAGAGAAGGU